CACCGCCCGUCACACCAUGGGAGUUGGAUUGACCCGAAGGCAGUGAGCCAACCCGCAAGGGAGGCAGCUGACCACGGUCGGUUCAGCGACUGGGGUG
rnacentral:rRNA from 1 species